CUCUUUCUUUUCACAUAUCUUAUUGUUCUGUUAGUAUAGUCUGGUCUGCAGUUCCUUGUUCCAUCAUCUUAUUCUAAUUGCUGACUCCAAAUACUACGUUUCCUCAUCAGUUUUUGCCCCAUCAGAGAUAUUCUCCCCUUUGUUCCACCAAUCCACCACAACCCCUCUCUACAAGUGAAAAACAACUUGUUUUUGUUGCUGUUUCCUACUCUGGUGAACGGUCUCUGAUCUGAAACUGAACGGUUUCUUUCUCCACAAAUGCUGUCGAACCUGCUGAAUGUUUUUUGAAUUUUCUUCCAUUUUUAUUUCAGAUUUUCAGCAUCUGCGGUUCUUUGCUUUACACGUUGAUUUUGAUGUUGUGACCGGCCAACAACGAAUCAAAGGAGAUCAGAUACGUGGUGUCGUAAUCUACUGGGAUUCAAGUAACUAAUUUUCAGCAUCUGCGGUUCUUUGCUUUACACGUUGAUUUUGAUGUUGUGACGGGUCAACAACGAAUCAAAGGAGAUCAGAUACGCGGUGUCGUAAUCUACUGAGAUUCAAGUAACUAAUUUUCAGCAUCUGCGGUUCUUUGCUUUACACGUUGAUUUUGAUGUUGUGACCGGCCAACAACGAAUCAAAGGAGAUCAGAUAUGUGGUGUCGUAAUCUACUGGGAUUCAAGUAACCAAUGCUGCCUCACCCGCUGAGUUUCUCCGACAUUUUUGUCGACCUUCGGUUUUUCCAGCAUCUGCAAUUAUUUUUUGACAUCUAAAAUCAGAACCCCGUUCCUGCUUUCUUCCCAUAUCCCUUGAUUCCGUUAGCCUCAAGAGCUAAAUUGUCAAUUAAACAAUUAAAGACAGGGAGGAGGUCCAGCACUUAGCAGCAUGGUGCGCUGACAACAACCUGGCCCUUAACUCCAAGAAGACCAAGGAGCUCAUUGUAGACUUCGGGAAGUCCAGAGGCGGCACGCACACCCCCAUCCACAUUAACGGGACGGAGGCGGAACGUGUUUCUAGCUUCAGGUUCCUGGGAGUCAACAUCUCCGAUGACCUCUCUUGGACCCACAAUACCUCAACUCUGAUCAGGAAGGCUCACCAACGUCUCUUCUUCCUGAGGAGACUGAAGAAGGUCCAUCUGUCUCCUCAGAUCCUGGUGAACUUCUACCGCUGCACCAUCGAGAGCAUCCUUACCAACUGCAUCACAGUAUGGUAUGGCAACUGCUCAGUCUCUGACCGGAAGGCCUUGCAGAGAGUGGUGAAAAUUGCCCAACGCAUCACCGGUUCCACGCUCCCCUCCAUUGAGUCUGUCCAAAGCAAGCGCUGUCUGCAGAGGGCGCUCAGCAUCGCCAAGGACUGCUCUCACCCCAACUAUGGACUGUUUACCCUCCUACCAUCCGGGAGGCGCUACAGGUCUCUCCGUUGCCGAACCAGCAGGUCCAGGAACAGCUUCUUCCCGGCGGCUGUCACUCUACUCAACAACGUACCUCGGUGACUGCCAAUCACCACCCCCCCCAGACACUUAUUAUUAUUUAUUCAAAUCAUUUGCUAUGUCGCUCUUCCAGGGAGAUGCUAAAUGCAUUUCGUUGUCUCUGUACUGUACACUGACAAUGACAAUUAAAAUUGAAUCUGAAUCUAAAUCUAACUCUCUCUUGAAUCAUCCAGUGAAUUGGCCUCCACUGCCUUCUGUGGCAGAGAAUUCCACAGAUUCACAAAUCACUGGGUGAAAAUGUUUUCCCUCAUCUCAAUCCUAAAUGGCCGACCCCUUAUCCUUAAACUGUGAACCCUGGUUCUGGUCUCCCUCAACAUCAGGAACAUCUUUCAUGCAUCUAUCCAGUCCAAUCCUUUAAGGGUUUUGUAUGUUUCUAUAAGAUAUCCUCUCAUCCUAAAUUCCAGUGAAUCCCAGCUUGUCCUGACUCAAUCAUGACCCAUUCUUUCAUCACCGUUCAGUCAGUCCCACGCUAAAGUCGGAGUCCCAUGCAAGAUAGGUUUAUUAGAACGCUGCGUGGAUUUGUUGCGCACGCACACACACGGGAACGUGUCUUUGCAUCUUUAAGGGCGCCGCCUCCUACCUUUGCCUUGUGGCGCUUGGCUGCGGCAAGCACGUGAUGGUAAAGGAAGGCCGCGGGGAAGUCCAGGCCAGCCAGCCCUGCGCAAGGCAUGAGGAGAGAGGGGAUGGUCCGCUCGGGAUCUCUGCCGUCCAGCGCUUAGUUUAUCAAAACAAUGGCGACGAUUUCUACAAAAAAAGUGCGGAGGUUACCCAAGUGGGUGCACAGGGAGAGGGUAAGAUGUCCCGCUCAGGGCAGUCAUCUAGUGCUGAUGGAAGUGAUAGGAACAGAACUACGCCGUUAAACGCAUCAAGUCUACUCAGCCAUUCAUAGAAACAUAGACACAUAAAAAAUAGGUGCAGGAGUAGAGGCCAUUCGGCCCUUCAAGCCUGCACUGCCAUUCAAUAUGAUCAUGGCUGAUCAUCCAACUCAGUAUCCCAUCCCUACCUUUUCUCCAUACCCCCUGAUCCCUUCAGCAACAAGGGCCACAUCUAACUCCCUCUUAAAUUAGCUAUUAAAUAUUCAUUCUAUCGCUCCCUCCUAACUCUAUUCUCCUGCCUUCUCCCCAUAACACUGUCCCCUUAUAUUCCCUGUGGGAUUCAUGGAUAUGGAUGUCCUGACAUGUUCAGUAAAGCUGACCCAUUUGUGCUUCCAAGGACGUCUAUGCAUCAUAGUGGUGGGGACAAAUAGAACAAUUUAGAGCUGUUUAGUUUAGAGAUAGAACGCGAAAUCAUGCAUUUCAAGCCAAUUAACCAACUGUACGUCUUUGGAAUGUGGGAGGAAACCGAAGAUGUCAGAGCAAAUCCACGUGGGUCACGGGGAGAACGUACAAACUCUGCGCAGACAAGCACCCAAGAGAUCCUGUCCCACUUAGGAAACCUGAACGAAAACCUCUGGAGACAUUGCGCCCCACCCGAGGUUUCCGUGCGGUUCCCGGAGGUUUUUGUCAGUCUCCCUACCUGAUUCCACUACCUUCAACCUCCGGCAACCACCUGCAACCUCCGGGAACCUUGAUUAGUACGGGUGUCUGGGGUUAUGGGGCGAGG